UAGCUUCUCGUGAGAUCUCGCGAUUUUCACAAGGUCAUCGCGAGACUUGGAGAGUCACCGCCAUUUUGGAUUUGGAGAACCGCACGAAGUUGGACAUCGGUGACGAGAAAACUGCCUCAAAAUGCUGCCAGUGUUGAGAACCCUCCCCAGACUAGUCGGGACUAACGUCCGCCAGUCAGUGCGACGCAUGGCGACCGAGUCAGGGACCCAGAAUGGAAACGGAAACAUCCUACUUGUGGUUGGGGUCGGCUCCUUGGUUGCAAGUGCAUCAUACAUCAUUUUCAGUGAUGAGUUCUGGUUCAACGUGCCCCAGUACCCAGAUCCAGAGAAGGUCCGUCCUGACAAACGAGACUGAGAAGACUGGACAUCUCUAGUCCAACUGAGUUGCUGUGGUCCUGGCUGUUGUUUCUGUAUACUCAAAACAUGUCCUGUGUGCUUCACCUUAGCUUAUACAGACAUAAUUGUACAAAUUGGAGUUAAAGGGAGGAAGUAAGAGUCCAUUGUCACCUCUAUCGACUCUUGUCAAUGAGGAGAAAUAAAACUUAUCUAUAGCACCCA